rnacentral:tRNA from 1 species
GAGGUUGUAGCUCAGUAGUAGAGCACAUGCCUUGUAUGCAUGAGACAUUGGGUUUGAUCUUU